GACGAACGCUGGCGGCGUGCCUAACACAUGCAAGUCGAACGGGGCCCGCAAGGGUUCAGUGGCGAACGGGUGCGUAACACGUGAAGAAUUUGUCCAACGGCGGGGGGUAGCCGGCCCAAC
rnacentral:rRNA from 1 species